rnacentral:lncRNA from 1 species
AGUCACAUUAUGGCUCAAAAAGGUCUUUCUUCUUUGGUUGUAAUGGGGCUAAGGACUAUCAAUGAUGUAGGCAAGAUCCUAGGGGUCCUAAGCUCAAACAUUGAAGAUCAAAUAUCGUGCAUGCUCGAAUCAAAUCACACCCAAAGAAUUCUAAACAUAUGAAGAGCAACUUCCAACUCAACUAUGGGCAACAACCAUCAAACAACUCAAUGCAUGUAUACUAAUUCAACCUUGGUGCAACCUUUAUUUUCUCUCUCUUUUUUUUUUUUUCUUUUUUUUUCUUUUUUUUUUCUUUCUUUUCUUUUUCUUUUUUUUCUUUUUUUUUUUUUCUGCACCACUUCAUUAAAACAACACAAUCAUGCAAAGAGUACAUCAAAAACAAUCUGCCCAACUGUCAAAAUCCUCCUCUGUUCGGCCAAACAGACCAUCCGUCCUAGAUUAGAAUGUAAUUUCGGCUCGGUUCUGUUUGGGCAAACAAGUAUCCUUAUGCACAUUCCUCAAAAAUUCACUUAAGAUGUAAUUCAAUUCUAACAUGCACAAUGG